rnacentral:rRNA from 1 species
CAAUGGGCGAAAGCCUGACGGAGCAAUACCGCGUGAGGGAUGAAAGCCUUUGGGUUGUAAACCUCUUUUCUCAAGGAAGAAGUUCUGACGGUACUUGAGGAAUAAGCAUCGGCUAACUCUGUGCCAGCAGCCGCGGUAAUACAGAGGAUGCAAGCGUUAUCCGGAAUCACUGGGCAUAAAGCGUCUGUAGGUUGUUUAGUAAGUCUGCUGUUAAAUACUAGGGCUUAACCCAAAGCCAGCAGUGGAAACUGCUAGACUUGAGUGUGGUACAAGAAAAGGGAAUUCCUGGUGUACCGCGUGAAUGCAUAUAUCCAAAAAAGAACGGGAAUGGCGAACCCUCUCUACUGAUCCCCAACUGACACUAAGAGACGACAGCUACGGGAGCAAAAGGGAUUAAAUACCCCAGUAGUC